GUUAUUAUAGUUUUGAUGAGAAACCAAAGCAUUUGUGUGUCCAAAAUCAAAAGCAAAACAAAAAAACACUUGGAACUGCUUCUUUGUUUCGACUUGCCAGUUGCCACCGCAAUCUGCUUCAUUUGUACUACCGUUCCGACAAGAGAACUCAUCACCAACGAAGCUUCCAUGGUGAACCCCAUGCAAGUUCAACACCAUUCCGAUGGUUUUCUAUUUUUCUGUUGCCAGCCAUCACGAAUUAAGAUGGGAACCCCAUACACUCAACUUGCACAAGUGGAAGGAGAUCAUAACUGAGUCCCUGAGAUACUGGUGAAUUUAUUAAUGAACUAGAAUGAAACCCGCUCGAUGCGCGGACGAUAAAUUAAUGAUAGUAUAUAAUAAAUAUUAAAAUUGACUAUGUUUUAUAGAAUCAAACUAAAUAUGUAUAAACUAAAGUUAAAUUUAAAAGGUGUUUUGUUUAAAAUAAUUUAUAGUACAAAAGAUUUGGAUGUUGAAGUUGUACAAAGUGAUAUUUUUAUUUGGUGGUUUGAUUUUUGUAUUUGUUUUGGUUGAUA